GACGUAGGGGGCCAGCGUUGUUCGGAAUUACUGGGUGUAAAGGGUUCGUAGGCGGUGUGGCAAGUCGGGAGUGAAAUCUCUGGGCUCAACCUGGGAACUGCCUUUGUGACUGCAAGGCUUGAGUGCGGCAGAGGGGGAUGGAAUUCCGCGUGUAGCAGUGAAAUGCGUAGAUAUGCGGAGGAACACCGAUGGCGAAGGCAAUCCCCUGGGCCUGCACUGACGCUCAUGCACGAAAGCGUGGGGAGCAAACAGG
rnacentral:rRNA from 1 species